UAAGGAAUAUUGGUCAAUGGACGCAAGUCUGAACCAGCCAUGCCGCGUGAAGGAUUAAGGCCCUCUGGGUUGUAAACUUCUUUUAUAGGGGAAGAAAUGUGACGGUUCUCCGUCACUCGACGGUACCCUGGGAAUAAGCACCGGCUAACUCCGUGCCAGCAGCCGCGGUAAUACGGAGGGUGCAAGCGUUGUUCGGAAUUACUGGGCGUAAAGGGUGCGUAGGCGGCGCUCUAAGUUUGGUGUGAAAUCUCCCGGCUUAACUGGGAGGGUGCACUGAAAACUGGGGCGCUCGAGUAUGGGAGAGGAAAGCGGAAUUCCUGGUGUAGCGGUGAAAUGCGUAGAGAUCAGGAGGAACACCUGCGGUGCAGACGGCUUUCUGGACCAUCACUGACGCUGAGGCACGAAAGCGUGGGUAGCAAACA
rnacentral:rRNA from 1 species